CCUCACCCACCGCCAUUUUUUUUAAUUCGUGAGGGGGGUGCAGACGCCGGAAAAUUUAUUUUUGUUGCUCAAUUAACGACGAGGACGACGAGGAGGAGGACGACCCGCUAGGAGUGUGAGGUCGCCACUUUUGAGAGAAAGCGUGAGCCAAUCGGAGGCAAGUUCAGGGGGCAAGGGUCGCGAAAUUUCAGAAUUUGUCGAUGGCCGCCUCGAAGGCCUCCACUUAGGCUGCGACUUUAACCAUUUAACUUUACAACUUUAAACAUUAAACUACAAAUAAACAACGACUAUACAACAGCUAUACAACGACGACUAAACAACAGCACAACAACAACAACAACUUCUCCGGCGAUGUCUACGAUGGACAAAGAGAACUCGCGCGCCUCAGCUGCCCAAGCGCCGGCAGCCCCCCCCUCGCGGCCGCGGCUCGUGACGCCGGUGCGCCGCUCGGCGCGGAUCCACGCGGCGGGGGGGGCGGUGGGGG